rnacentral:rRNA from 1 species
AACGAACGCUGGCGGCAUGCCUAACACAUGCAAGUCGAACGAGACCUUCGGGUCUAGUGGCGCACGGGUGCGUAACGCGUGGGAACCUGCCCUUAGGUUCGGAAUAACUCCCCGAAAGGGGUGCUAAUACCGGAUAAUGUCUUCGGACCAAAGAUUUAUCGCCUUUGGAUGGGCCCGCGUUGGAUUAGCUAGUUGGUAGGGUAAAAGCCUACCAAGGCGACGAUCCAUAGCUGGUCUGAGAGGAUGAUCAGCCACACUGGGACUGAGACACGGCCCAGACAGAGCGGGAGGGGAGGGGGGAGGAAAAAGGGACGAGGGGGGAGGGGCGGGUCGAGGAGGGGCGGGGGAGGGAGAACGUACGUAGUGUUGAGGAGCUUUGGGACCGGGAAGGAGAAUAACAGGGGGGGGAGAAGAAGCGCCAGCAAGCCCCGAGCCAGCAGGGGGGGUAAUAGGGGGAAGCCCACACGGCGGACC